rnacentral:rRNA from 1 species
GAUGAACGCUGACAGAAUGCUUAACACAUGCAAGUCAUUGGCGAAGCUGCGCUUGCGCAGUCUAGCCAAGGCGGACGGGUGAGUAACGCGUAAGGAACUUGCCCUGCAGACAGGGAUAACAGACGGAAACGACUGAUAACACCUGGUAUUGUCAGGCUGGCGCAUGCCGGCCUGAUGAAAGGAGACGCUGCAGGAGAGCCUUGCGUCCUAUUAGCUAGUUGGUGGGGUAACGGCCCACCAAGGCGAUGAUAGGUAACCGGCCUGAGAGGGUGAACGGCCACAAGGGGACUGAGAUACGGCCCUUACUCCUACGGGAGGCAGCAGUGGGGAAUAUUGGACAAUGGGGGCAACCCUGAUCCAGCAAUUCUGUGUGCACGAAGAAGGUUUUCGGAUUGUAAAGUGCUUUCAGCAGGGAAGAAGAAAGUGACGGUACCUGCAGAAGAAGCGACGGCUAAAUACGUG